AAGAAAGUUCCUCAUAAAGAGGCUGGUGUCUUGAAAAUACCAUGGUGAGAGGGUGGAGCUCUUAACUUUCUUA
rnacentral:tRNA from 9 species